UACGUAGGGGGCAAGCGUUAUCCGGAUUUACUGGGUGUAAAGGGAGCGUAGGUGGUAUGGUAAGUCAGAUGUGAAAGCCCGGGGCUCAACCCCGGGAUUGCAUUUGAAACUGCCAAACUAGAGUGCAGGAGAGGUAAGUGGAAUUCCUAGUGUAGCGGUGAAAUGCGUAGAUAUUAGGAGGAACACCAGUGGCGAAGGCGGCUUACUGGACUGUAACUGACACUGAGGCUCGAAAGCGUGGGGAGCAAACAGG
rnacentral:rRNA from 1 species